GCCAAGUAUGGCUGUAAAAUGAGGUCACUGAAGGAGAAAAGCUGGUCAGAUCAGUGGAUUGAAGGUCUUGCGGGGCUUGGAAAAGUGAGGACGUCAGAGACAUUGAGCUAGAGAGGCUGUGGUUGUAGAGAAGUGGGUGCUUAAAACUGCGGGUAAGAGCUCCACUGUGAAACUGAGGAUUUCCAACUCCGCUAGCUGUGUCGGAGCAAGCGAACUGCACUAACGAGCAUCGUGCCACAGUAUUUCCAGCCCUCACAAAUACGAGGGCAUACCUGAAGGAAAUGACUGAAGGCAAGGGCUCUGGAAUCAGAUGGCUUGAGUUUAAAGCUGCACUCUUUACUUGCUGGCCAAGUGACCUUGGACAAUGUACUGAAAUGACACCUUCCUCAAAAACCGUAUCUGGAAAACGGGGACAAAUUAGUAUGCCAUUCAUAAGGCUUUUGUGAGGAUUCGAUGACAUAAUCUAUCCAAAGUAUGUAACUUGCAAA